rnacentral:rRNA from 1 species
UACAGAGGGGGCAAGCGUUGUUCGGAAUUACUGGGCGUAAAGGGCGCGUAGGCGGCCUGUUAAGUCGAACGUGAAAUCCCCGGGCUCAACCCGGGAACUGCGUCCGAUACUGGCAGGCUUGAAUCCGGGAGAGGGAUGCGGAAUUCCAGGUGUAGCGGUGAAAUGCGUAGAUAUCAGGAGGAACACCGGUGGCGAAGGCGGGUCUCUGGGCCGAUACUGACGCUGAGGAGCGAAAGCGUGGGGAGCGAACAGG